rnacentral:rRNA from 1 species
AUUGAACGCUGGCGGCAGGCCUAAAACAUGCAAGUCGAACGAGUGGAGGACGGGUGAGUAAUGGCUGGGAAACUGGCUGAUGGAGGGGGAUAAGUAGUGGAAACGGUAGCUAAUACCGCAUAACAUGGGAUGUGGCCAGAUGGGAGUAGGGAGUGGGUGGGGUAAAGGCUCACCUAGGCGACGAUCCAUCGCUGGUCUGAGAGGAUGACCAGCCACACUGGAACGGAGACACGGUCCAUACUCCUACGGGAGGCAGCAGUGGGGAAUAUUCCACAAUGGUCGCAAGCCUGAUGCAGCCACGCCGCGUGGAUGAAGAAGGCCGUCGGGUUGUAAAGUACUUUCAGCGGGGAGGCGUUACCUUCCGAAGAAGCACCGGCUAACUCCGUGCCAGCCGCCGCGGUAAUAC